rnacentral:tRNA from 1 species
GGAUUGUAGCUCAGUGGUAGAGCGCUUGUCCAGCAUGCAUGAGGCACUGGCUUCGAUUCUCAGCAUCA